AUUGAACGCUGGCGGCAUGCCUUACACAUGCAAGUCGAACGGUAACGGGCCUUCGGGUGCCGACGAGUGGCGAACGGGUGAGUAAUGCAUCGGAACGUACCUUUCAGUGGGGGAUAACGUAGCGAAAGUUACGCUAAUACCGCAUAUUCUGGGAGCAGGAAAGCAGGGGAUCGCAAGACCUUGCGCUGAUUGAGCGGCCGAUGUCAGAUUAGCUAGUUGGUGAGGUAAAGGCCCACCAAGGCGACGAUCUGUAGCGGGUCUGAGAGGAUGAUCCGCCACACUUGAACUGAGACACGGUCCAGACUCCUACGGGAGGCAGCAGUGGGGAAUUUUGGACAAUGGGGGCAACCCUGAUCCAGCCAUGCCGCGUGAGUGAAGAAGGCCUUCGGGUUGUAAAGCUCUUUCGGUCGGGAAGAAAUCGCAUGGGUUAAUACCCUGUGCGGAUGACGGUACCGGCAUAAGAAGCACCGGCUAACUACGUGCCAGCCGCCGCCGUAA
rnacentral:rRNA from 1 species